GGGGCUGUGAUCUAACGGGAUGAUGCCUGCCUUGCAAGCAGGACGCAGAGGUUCAACUCCUCUCAGCUCCACCA
rnacentral:tRNA from 1 species